rnacentral:rRNA from 1 species
AGAGUUUGAUCCUGGCUCAGGAUGAACGCUGGCGGCGUGCUUUAUGCAUGCAAGUCGAACGAGAAGGGGCGGACUUCGGUCCGGCCUGGAGAGUGGCGAACGGGUGAGUAACACGUGAGUGACCUGCCCCGAGGUGGGGGACAACCGUGGGAAACCACGGCUAAUACCCCGUAGUCCUGUGCGUAUUGGUUGCGUACAGGUAUAGCUCCGGCGCCUCGGGAGGGGCUCGCGGUCGAUUAGCUAGUUGGUGGGGUAACGGCCUACCAAGGCGACGAUCGAUAGCUGGUCUGAGAGGACGAUCAGCCACACUGGGACUGAGAUACGGCCCAGACUCCUACGGGGGGCAGCAGCAAGGAAUAUUGGACAAUGGGCGCAAGCCUGAUCCAGCAACGCCGCGUGGAGGAAGAAGGCUUCGGUUGUAAACUCCUUUUGUGAGGGAUGAGACAAGGACAGUACCUCACGAAUAAGUCACGGCUAACUAGGUGCCAGCAGCCGCGGUAACACCUAGGUGACAAGCGUUAUCCGGAUUUACUGGGCGUAAAGGGCUCGAAGGCGGCAGUUCAAGUCCGGUGUGAAAUCUCCUGGCUUAACCAGGAGGGGUCGUCGGAUACUGUUCUGCUAGAGGCAGUGAGAGGGGUGCGGAAUUCUCGGUGGAGUGGUGGAAUACGUAGAUAUCGAGAGGAACACCAGUGGCGAAAGCGGCGCCCUGGCACUGACCUGACGUUCAUGAGCGAAAGCGUGGGGAGCGAACGGGAUUAGAUACCCCGGUAGUCCACGCUGUAAACGAUGAGUACUAGGUGUAGGCGACAACCGUGGUCUGUGCCGAAGCUAACGCGAUAAGUACUCCGCCUGGGGACUACGGCCGCAAGGCUAAAACUCAAAGGAAUUGACGGGGACCCGCACAAGCAGCGGAGCGUGUUGUUUAAUUCGAUGUAACGCGAAGAACCUUACCUGGGUUUGACAUGUGCGUAGUAGUGAAGCGAAAGCCGAACGACCCUUCGGGGAGCGUACACAGGUGUUGCAUGGCUGUCGUCAGCUCGUG